AUACGUAGGUGGCAAGCGUUAUCCGGAUUUACUGGGCGUAAAGGGCGCGCAGGCGGGGGUGCAAGUCAGAUGUGAAAUCUAUGGGCUUAACUCAUGAACUGCAUUUGAAACUGUAUCUCUUGAGUGCUGGAGAGGUAGACGGAAUUCCUUGUGUAGCGGUGACAUCCGCAGAUAUAAGGAAGAACACCAGGGGCGAAGGGGGUCUACUGGGUAGUAACGGACGCUGAGGCGCGAAAGCGGGAGUAGAAAACGGGAUUAACUACCCUGGUAGUCCAGGCUGUAAACGAGGUAUAACAGGUGUGGGGGGACUGAGCCCCUUCGUGCCGCAGUUAACGCAAUAAGUAGUCCGCCUGGGGAGUACGGCCGCAAGGUUGAAACUCAAAUGAAUUGACGGGU
rnacentral:rRNA from 1 species